GACGAACGCUGGCGGCGUGCCUAACACAUGCAAGUCAACUUGACUGAAGGAGCAAUCUGACAGUAGAGUGGCGCAAGGGUGCGUAACGCGUAAGUAACUUGCCCCAAGGUAAGGAAUAACGUCGAGAAAUCGGCGCUAAUACCUCAUAAUGCAGCGGAUCCGCAUGGAUAUGUUGUUAAAGGUUUACCGCCUUGGGAUAGGCUUGCGUCUGAUUAGCUAGUUGGUGUGGUAACGGCACACCAAGGCUACGAUCAGUAACUGGUCUGAGAGGAUGAUCAGUCACACUGGAACUGAGACACGGUCCAGACUCCUACGGGAGGCAGCAGUGAGGAAUAUUGGGCAAUGCUCGAAAGAGUGACCCAGCAACGCCGCGUGGAGGAUGAAGGUAUUCUAUAUCGUAAACUCCUGUGAGAGCAGACGAAAGACAGAUUAUUAAUCUGGAUGACUGUAUGCUCAGAGGAAGCCCCGG
rnacentral:rRNA from 1 species